rnacentral:rRNA from 1 species
CUACGGGUUGCAGCAGUCGAGAAGCUUCGGCAAUGGACGAAAGUCUGACCGAGCGACGCCGCGUGAGCGAUGAAGGCCCUAGUGGUCGUAAAGCUCUGUCAGGAGGGAAUAAAUGCCUGCGGCCAAUACCCGCAGGAGUUGAAGGUACCUCCAGAGGAAGCGCCGGGUAACUACGUGCCAGCAGCCGCGGUAAUACGUAGGGCGCAAACGUUGUUCGGAUUUACUGGGUUUAAAGGGUUCGUAGGCGGGCUUGUAAGUCAGAGGUGAAAGCCAACGGCUCAACCGUUGAACUGCCUCUGGAUACUGGAAGUCUUGAGUCCGUUAGGGGAGGGUGGAAUUCCUGGUGUAGCGGUGAAAUGCGUAAAUAUCAGGAGGAACACCGGUGGCGAAGGCGGCCAUCUGGGACGGUACUGACGCUGAGGAACGAAAGCAUGGGUAUCAAACGGGAUUAGAUACCCGCGUAGUC